AUACGAGGAGGAGGAAGAGGAGAUGAUCCCAAAGGAUCCCAGGGGUUGAUGGGUAAUGGGUGAGGUGGCCUGGCGUGAGGACAAUCCACCGACUGAUGGCGAAUCGCGGAGUACCGAUGAGAAGGGCAGACAUGUGGGAGCGCACGAAACCGACAGGGUUUGUCCACGUAUCUGUCCUCGAAGAUGAUCGGCAAGCUGCUCCAGUCUCCAUCAAUGUCCAGACAUUCCACGGGUAACGGAGGCAUUCGGAGCAGAUAAUCCGAGUUACGCAUGUCUGCGGCCACCUGCGCAUGCCUGCUAAUCCUGCACACAGAUACUCUGCUCCAUCACACAUUCACCGCACGUCUUCUUCAGUGAGCAGAAAUACUUCAUAACGUAAGCCUGGAUAGAAAUAAAAGUACUCCAUUGAUACAGAAAAACAGAAAGGUUUAUUUGCCGAAUAACUGAUGACAGGAAUUUCAUUUUUGAGUGAACUCUCCCGACUGCUGUACAAAAGGAUACACAAGUAAGUGAGUACAUUACAUAAGACGUUGUGUUCGUA